GGAGACAGCGUGUCAGAGUCGAAACAGAACCUGUGGGCUGCAGCACUGCUUGCUUGUAGGGUGAAGGGAAAUCCACACGCCAGGAGAGUGGUAUGAGUGUAUUGUGUGAAAAGCUGAGGUGUUUGUAAACCUGAAAGAAAAAAGGCUUGUACUCAUAGCCGUCUUACUCAGUUCAGGAGAGACAAAUUAAUGGAAUAAGUAUUAUUACUGUAUCAGAUGAUAAAUAGGUCUGUGGAGAAAAUGACAGGAGAUGGGGAUGCUGGGGCAUCUUGGCGGCAGUUAUUAGUGGGUGACACAGAGAAAGCCGUCUGAAGUGAUGUGGGCAGACACUGAAAGGUUCAGGUGCCGUGAGGGUUUCCAGGCAGAGGUGAGUGAGGACUGAGGCUGCUUUUGAGGUCCAGGGUGUAGCCUGGAGUAAAGGGACUCCAUCCCUGCAACCCACUCCCAGUCACUCAGAAAAUAACCUUUAUGUGCAGACAAAGGAGAAGGAAGCAGCAAAAGGUAACCAAAUGUGCUUCUGGGUUAAGGCUGUCAAGUCCCCAGCAUUCUCCUGCACCUGCCCUUCAAACAUCUUCCCGCCCCGCCCCGCCCCGCCCCGCCCCGCCCCGCCCCGCCCCGCCCCGCCCCGCCCCGCCCCGCCCCGCCCGGGACGGGACAGGACAAGGCAGGAAGGACUGGAGCUGGAGCUCUGUGGUGAACCAUUUCCUUAGCACGCACGCACGCACGAGGCUCUGGGGCAACAGCUGGAGAGGAAGAGGAGCCAAGAGCCCUCCCGGAACUGCUUUCAGGAUGAGGGAGGCAGAAGCAUGCUUGCAUCCUGGUGCUAGCGAACUGCCCAGGGAGGACUGAUGGCCAGAGAGGCAGCAGAGCCAGUGGCGCCAGGUUCUUAGAUGGAGAAGAAAUGAUCCAGAGCCCAAAGCGCACUUGGUCCGGGUGUGUGCUUUUCCCAGGAGUGUGGUCCAGAUGGAUGCUCUCAGUGUUCUCUGGCCAGAGGCCUUCAGGAAUCCAUAUGUAGCUCACCAAGGAAGGUUACAGAGUUCUCCGGUUUUCAUCUGGUUCCAUCCUGGUCAGCACGGCCUUAUCCGAGGUUGAUGUUCUACAGAAGAUUUAUGUGCAACAAAACACGAAUCCCUAGAUAAGUUGCAAACAAUGAGAAGAAUGCUGCUGAGAGGCCUAGGGGAUCCUCUUCCCAUCGAUUGUUCUCUUUCUCUGUGAGAUGGAAGCAUUCUAAGAAGGUAAAGGUGCGGAGAGAAUGUCAGAGAUGGGAGAGAAGGGACAAAAGACAUUACUGGACAGGUACAUGCUCAGCAACGGGAAGGGC
rnacentral:lncRNA from 1 species